rnacentral:rRNA from 1 species
GACGAACGCUGGCGGCGUGCUUAACACAUGCAAGUCGAACGAAGAGCGACGGAAGCUUGCUUCUAUCAAUCUUAGUGGCGAACGGGUGAGUAACGCGUAAUCAACCUGCCCUUCAGAGGGGGACAACAGUUGGAAACGACUGCUAAUACCGCAUACGAUCUAACCUCGGCAUCGAGGAUAGAUGAAAGGUGGCCUCUACAUGUAAGCUAUCACUGAAGGAGGGGAUUGCGUCUGAUUAGCUAGUUGGAGGGGUAACGGCCCACCAAGGCGAUGAUCAGUAGCCGGUCUGAGAGGAUGAACGGCCAAAUUGGGACUGAGACACGGCCCAGACUCCUACGGGAGGCAGCAGUGGGGAAUCUUCCGCAAUGGACGAAAGUCUGACGGAGCAACGCCGCGUGAGUGAUGACGGCCUUCGGGUUGUAAAGCUCUGUUAAUCGGGACGAAAGGCCUUCUUGCGAAUAGUGAGAAGGAUUGACGGUACCGGAAUAGAAAGCCACGGCUAACUACGUG